CUACGGGUGGCAGCAGUGGGGAAUAUUGGACAAUGGGCGAAAGCCUGAUCCAGCCAUGCCGCGUGUGUGAAGAAGGCCUUCGGGUUGUAAAGCACUUUCAGUGGGGAAGAAAGCCUUGGGGCUAAUACCCUCGAGGAAGGACAUCACCCACAGAAGAAGCACCGGCUAACUCCGUGCCAGCAGCCGCGGUAAUACGGAGGGUGCGAGCGUUAAUCGGAAUUACUGGGCGUAAAGCGCGCGUAGGCGGUCUGAUAAGCCGGUUGUGAAAGCCCCGGGCUCAACCUGGGAACGGCAUCCGGAACUGUCAGGCUAGAGUGCAGGAGAGGAAGGUAGAAUUCCCGGUGUAGCGGUGAAAUGCGUAGAGAUCGGGAGGAAUACCAGUGGCGAAGGCGGCCUUCUGGACUGACACUGACGCUGAGGUGCGAAAGCGUGGGAAGCAAACAGGAUUAGAUACCCCUGUAGUC
rnacentral:rRNA from 1 species